rnacentral:rRNA from 1 species
GAUCAACCCUGGCGGCGUGGCUAAUGCAUGCGAGUCGAGCGAACGGACGAGAAGAUUGCUUCUCUGAUGUUAGCGGCGGACGGGGGAGUAACACGUGGAUAACCGACCUAUAAGACUGGGAUAACUUCGGGAAACCGGAGCUAAGACCGGGUAAUAGUUUGAACCGCAUGGUUCAAAAGUGAAAGACGGUCUUGCUGUCACUUAGAGAUGGAUCCGCGCUGCAUUAGCUAGUUGGUAAGGUAACGGCUUACCAAGGCAACGAUGCAUAGCCGACCUGAGAGGGUGAUCGGCCACACUGGAACUGAGACACGGUCCAGACUCCUACGGGAGGCAGCAGUAGGGAAUCUUCCGCAAUGGGCGAAAGCCUGACGGAGCAACGCCGCGUGCGUGAUGAAGGUCUUCGGAUCGUAAAACUCUGUUAUUAGGGAAGACCAUAUGUGUAAGUAACUGUGCACAUCUUGACGUUACCUAAUCAGAAAGCCACGGCUAAGUACGUG